rnacentral:rRNA from 1 species
CUAACACAUGCAAGUCGAGCGCGACCUUCGGGUUGAGCGGCGGACGGGUUAGUAACGCGUGGGAAUAUGCCCAAAGGUACGGAAUAGCCUCUGGAAACGGAGAGUAAUACCGUAUGUGCCCUUCGGGGGAAAGAUUUAUCGCCUUUGGAUUAGCCCGCGUUAGAUUAGGUAGUUGGUGGGGUAAUGGCCUACCAAGCCUACGAUCUAUAGCUGGUUUCAGAGGAUGAUCAGCAACACUGGGACUGAGACACGGCCCAGACUCCUACGGGAGGCAGCAGUGGGGAAUCUUGGACAAUGGGCGCAAGCCUGAUCCAGCCAUGCCGCGUGAGUGAUGAAGGCCUUAGGGUCGUAAAGCUCUUUCGCCAGGGAUGAUAAUGACAGUACCUGGUAAAGAAACCCCGGCUAACUCCGUGCCAGCAGCCGCGGUAAUACGGAGGGGGUUAGCGUUGUUCGGAAUUACUGGGCGUAAAGCGCGCGUAGGCGGAUCGGAAAGUUGGGGGUGAAAUCCCGGGGCUCAACCCCGGAACUGCCUCCAAAACUAUCGGUCUA